rnacentral:rRNA from 1 species
UGGCUGCAGUAAUUUGACUGUACAAAGGUAGCAUAAUCAAUAGUUUUUUAAUUGAAAGCUAGAAUGAAUGGUUGGACGAGAUAAAAUCUGUCUUUAUUUAAUUUAUAAUAAAAUUUAAUUUUUAAGUUAAAAAGCUUAAAUUUUUAUAAAAGACGAGAAGACCCUAUAGAGUUUUAUAUUUAAUUUAAUAUAUUUAAUAUAGAUUUAUUUAUUAUAUAUUUAAUAAAGUAUUUUAUUGGGGUAAUAUAAAGAUUAAAUUAAUUCUUUAAAUUUUUUAUAUUUAUUAAUAUUUUAUAUGAUCCAUUAUUGAUGAUUAAAAGAUUAAAUUACCUUAGGGAUAACAGCGUAAUUUUUUUAGAGAGUUCAUAUUGAUAAAAAAGUUUGCGACCUCGAUGUUGGAUUAAAGAUUAAUUUAGGUGCAAAAGUUUAAAUGUUUGGUCUGUUCGACCAUUAAAUCUUUACAUGAUCUGAGUUCAGACCGGCGUGAGCCAGGUCGGUUUCUAUCUUUAUUUUAUUAAAAUAUUUUAGUACGAAAGGACCAAAUAUUAAUUAAAUUAAUUUAUUUAUUUGAAUAUUAUU